GGUUAAGUGAAUAAGGGCGCACGGUGGAUGCCUUGGCACUAGGAGCCGAUGAAGGACGGGACUAACACCGAUAUGCUUUGGGGAGCUGUACGUAAGCUAUGAUCCAGAGAUUUCCGAAUGGGGGAACCCAACAUCUUUAAUAGGAUGUUACGAUUGUGUGAAUACAUAGCACAUUCGAGGUAGACGCAGAGAACUGAAACAUCUAAGUACCUGCAGGAAGAGAAAGAAAAUUCGAUUCCCUGAGUAGCGGCGAGCGAAACGGGAAAAGCCCAAACCAGCAAGCUUGCUUGUUGGGGUUGUAGGACUCCAAUAUGGUAGUUCUUUCAGAUAGUCGAAUGACUUGGAAAAGUCAGUCAAAGAGGGUAAAAACCCCGUAGACGAAAUGUGGAAGACACCUAGGAGGAUCCUGAGUACGGCGGAACACGAGAAAUUCCGUCGGAAUCCGGGAGGACCAUCUCCCAAGGCUAAAUACUCCCUAGUGACCGAUAGUGAACCAGUACCGUGAGGGAAAGGUGAAAAGCACCCCGGAAGGGGAGUGAAAUAGAACCUGAAACCGUGUGCCUACAACAAGUCAAAGCCCGUUAAUGGGUGAUGGCGUGCCUUUUGUAGAAUGAACCGGCGAGUUACGAUUGCAUGCGAGGUUAAGUUGAAGAGACGGAGCCGCAGCGAAAGCGAGUCUGAAUAGGGCGUUUGAGUAUGUAGUCGUAGACCCGAAACCAUGUGAUCUACCCAUGUCCAGGUUGAAGGUGCGGUAAAACGCACUGGAGGACCGAACCCACGUACGUUGAAAAGUGCGGGGAUGAGGUGUGGGUAGCGGAGAAAUUCCAAACGAACUUGGAGAUAGCUGGUUCUCUCCGAAAUAGCUUUAGGGCUAGCCUCGGAAUUGAGAAUGAUGGAGGUAGAGCACUGUUUGGACUAGGGGCCCAUCUCGGGUUACCGAAUUCAGAUAAACUCCGAAUGCCAUUCAUUCAUAUCCGGGAGUCAGACUGUGAGUGAUAAGAUCCAUAGUCGAAAGGGAAACAGCCCAGACCACCAGCUAAGGUCCCAAAAUAUAUGUUAAGUGGAAAAGGAUGUGGGGUUGCACAGACAACUAGGAUGUUGGCUUAGAAGCAGCCACCAUUUAAAGAGUGCGUAAUAGCUCACUAGUCGAGUGACCCUGCGCCGAAAAUGUACCGGGGCUAAACAUAUUACCGAAGCUGUGGAGUACACCUUUAGGUGUAUUGGUAGGAGAGCGUUCUAAGGGCGUUGAAGGCAGAUCGUGAGGACUGCUGGAGCGCUUAGAAGUGAGAAUGCCGGUAUGAGUAGCGAAAGACAGGUGAGAAUCCUGUCCACCGAAUGACUAAGGUUUCCUGGGGAAGGCUCGUCCGCCCAGGGUUAGUCGGGACCUAAGCCGAGGCCGACAGGCGUAGGCGAUGGAUAACAGGUUGAUAUUCCUGUACCCGUUGUUUUUGUUUGAGCAAUGGAGGGACGCAGGAGGCUAAGGAAUGCAGACGAUCGGAAAUGUCUGUCCAAGCAGUAAGUCUGAAGAGGAGUCAAAUG
rnacentral:rRNA from 1 species